AUGCCUCAGCCCCCCGAACUCGCCGCCGUCGUCAGUCGCGCAAACUUCGAUUUGGGCACCUUGGGCAGCGACAGCCCCCCGAGAUCGUUGUACGUGGAUUGCUGGAACGACCUCCUUCUCCUCACAUCCUUCGUGGACACCAGCGAACCCAAACGAAUUGUGCGCUGCCCCCUGUAUCCUGAGAGAUGUAUGACCAUCCUCCCACCAGUUCCCGACACCAGCCUCCAGGAUGGCUUCACAUACUACGAACGUGAGAUCAUCCUCAACGGUGGAGGCGAUGGCCUGUCCUUCAUCUAUUUGGGAGGGAGUAUAAGGCAGCAGACAGUUGUGCAUGUGUAUGUGUUACAAGUUGAUAUCUGGGCAAUCUAUUUUUCGGCUGUAAGUGAAUUAACUAGCAUCUCACUACAAUUCCCUAGUUUGAUUAGUGACGGGAAGAUCUAUAAUCUGGCCUCCGUGUGCGAGAUUGUAGAAAAGUUGUUCAUGCUAGAUCUUGCGUGGCAGGCUAUCACAUGCCGACGAUUUCGGGGUUCAUCUAACCCGUGUGAAGGACUUUCAGAUUCGCAUUUGGCUUCACACGAUGGAUAG
rnacentral:rRNA from 1 species